AUUCUGUCAAGUGCUAUUGCACUUUAAAGUGUCAAAACAGCACCUCUCGAUUUUGUAAACAUGUUUCCACGUGGAAGGGAGUAGUUGUGAUGAUCAUGAUUAACCCACAUACAUUGAUUUAGUGAACAAAAACACUCGUACAGCUGUAGAGUACAUUUUGAACAGCCAUCUCCAGGUAUGACAAAAAUUACACAAUUGACCCUAUAAGGAUAUACUCUUAAGACAGUGAUGUGCAAGUUCAAGGUUUGCCUGAUCAGAUACUUUAAUAAUAAAGAACAUGAAGAAUGGGUGAAAAAAUUCUCACAUUAUCAUGCUGCAAAAUAGUACAUUUCAGCUGUAACAAAACAAAUUAUCUGAUGAAAGCUUCAACCAUGAGAAUCUAGGAAAGGAUGUCAAGUCCAAAGAGAAGGCCAUAUAACAAAAGGUUGCUGAAUUCAGGAAGACUAGCUGGGAUGAUACAGUACUUUACUACUCAUAUGAACCAUAUCUGAACAUCAUUUGAGGAUCCCUUUCUCAGAAAAAAAGAAUUUGCAUAUUCAAAGACUCUAUAGUUUAUUGUUAAUUUGUUCGUUGUUUAACAUUCUUCUUGAGAAAUUUUCACUCAUAUGGGGAUGCCAACAUUUGUCUGUGGAGAGCUUCAAAUUUUGUCCUUUACCUGGCAUACAUGGCUAA